rnacentral:rRNA from 1 species
AUACGGAGGAUCCGAGCGUUAUCCGGAUUUAUUGGGUUUAAAGGGUGCGCAGGCGGCCAUUUAAGUCAGCGGUUAAAUCGUGGGGCUCAACCCCAUUCUGCCGUUGAUACUGGGUGGCUUGAUUGCGGUCGAGGUUGGCGGAAUUCGUUGUGUAGCGGUGAAAUGCAUAGAUUUGACGAAGAACACCGAUUGCGUAGGCAGCUGACCAGACCGCAAAUGACGCUCAUGCACGAAAGUGCGGGGAUCGAACAGGAUUAGAUACCCUGGUAGUCCGCACAGUAAACGAUGAAUACUUGUUUUCGGCGAUAUAAUGUCGGAGGCAAAGCGAAAGCGAUAAGUAUUCCACCUGGGGAGUACGCCGGCAACGGUGAAACUCAAAUGAAUUGGCGGGG